GAAUUUUAUAUAAGUUAAUAAGUUUUAAAUUAGUUUAGGGUGGGUUAUUAAUGUAUAUUUGAUUGGGAGGAUUGUUAAAUUAAAUAAACUUUAAUUGAAUAUAAAAUAUAAAUUAAUAGGUUUAAGAAUGGUUAGUAAAUUAAAUAAGAAUUAAUUACCUUAGGGAUAACAGCGUAAUAUUUUUAGAGAGUUCAUAUUAAUAAGAAUGUUUGC
rnacentral:rRNA from 1 species